rnacentral:rRNA from 1 species
GACGAACGCUGGCGGCGUGCUUAACACAUGCAAGUCGAACGGUGAAGCGCCUUCCUUUUUGGUGGGUGUGGAUGAGCGGCGAACGGGUGAGUAACACGUGAGUAACCUGCCCCCUUCUUCUGGAUAACCGCAUGAAAGUGUGGCUAAUACGGGAUAUUCUGGGUCUGUCGCAUGAUGGGUCUGGGAAAGAUAUUGUUUCGGUGGGGGAUGGGCUCGCGGCCUAUCAGCUUGUUGGUGGGGUGAUGGCCUACCAAGGCGGUGACGGGUAGCCGGCCCGAGAGGGUGGACGGUCACACUGGGACUGAGACACGGCCCAGACUCCUACGGGAGGCAGCAGUGGGGAAUAUUGCACAAUGGGCGCAAGCCUGAUGCAGCGACGCCGCGUGAGGGAUGGAGGCCUUCGGGUUGUGAACCUCUUUCGCCAGUGAAGCAGGCCUGCCUCGUUUGUGGGUGGGUUGACGGUAGCUGGAUAAGAAGCGCCGGCUAACUACGUG